rnacentral:rRNA from 1 species
CAGCAGCCACGGUAAUACGUAGGUGGCAAGCGUUGUCCGGAAUUACUGGGCGUAAAGGGCGCGUAGGCGGCCAUUCAAGUUAGAUGUGAAAGCCCUGGGCUCAACCUAGGAAUUGCAUUUGAUACUGUUUGGCUUGAGUUCGGGAGAGGUGAGUGGAAUUCCCAGUGUAGAGGUGAAAUUCGUAGAUAUUGGGAAGAACACCAGUGGCGAAGGCGGCUCACUGGACCGACACUGACGCUGAGGCGCGAAAGCGUGGGGAGCAAACAGGAUUAGAUACCCCAGUAGUCCCUGUCUCUUAUAC